rnacentral:rRNA from 2 species
AGAAGCGCAUACGGUGGAUGCCUUGGCAGUCAGAGGCGAUGAAAGACGUGGUAGCCUGCGAAAAGCUUCGGGGAGUCGGCAAACAGACUUUGAUCCGGAGAUCUCUGAAUGGGGGAACCCACCUAGGAUAACCUAGGUAUCUUGUACUGAAUCCAUAGGUGCAAGAGGCGAACCAGGGGAACUGAAACAUCUAAGUACCCUGAGGAAAAGAAAUCAACCGAGAUUCCCUUAGUAGUGGCGAGCGAACGGGGAUUAGCCCUUAAGCUUCAUUGAUUUUAGCGGAACGCUCUGGAAAGUGCGGCCAUAGUGGGUGAUAGCCCCGUACGCGAAAGGAUCUUUGAAGUGAAAUCGAGUAGGACGGAGCACGAGAAACUUUGUCUGAACAUGGGGGGACCAUCCUCCAAGGCUAAAUACUACUGACUGACCGAUAGUGAACCAGUACCGUGAGGGAAAGGCGAAAAGAACCCCGGAGAGGGGAGUGAAAUAGAACCUGAAACCGUAUGCGUACAAGCAGUGGGAGCCUACUUGUUAGGUGACUGCGUACCUUUUGUAUAAUGGGUCAGCGACUUAUAUUCAGUGGCAAGCUUAACCGUAUAGGGUAGGCGUAGCGAAAGCGAGUCUUAAUAGGGCGUUUAGUCGCUGGGUAUAGACCCGAAACCGGGCGAUCUAUCCAUGAGCAGGUUGAAGGUUAGGUAACACUGACUGGAGGACCGAACCCACUCCCGUUGAAAAGGUAGGGGAUGACUUGUGGAUCGGAGUGAAAGGCUAAUCAAGCUCGGAGAUAGCUGGUUCUCCUCGAAAGCUAUUUAGGUAGCGCCUCAUGUAUCACUCUGGGGGGUAGAGCACUGUUUCGGCUAGGGGGUCAUCCCGACUUACCAAACCGAUGCAAACUCCGAAUACCCAGAAGUGCCGAGCAUGGGAGACACACGGCGGGUGCUAACGUCCGUCGUGAAAAGGGAAACAACCCAGACCGCCAGCUAAGGUCCCAAAGUUGUGGUUAAGUGGUAAACGAUGUGGGAAGGCUUAGACAGCUAGGAGGUUGGCUUAGAAGCAGCCACCCUUUAAAGAAAGCGUAAUAGCUCACUAGUCGAGUCGGCCUGCGCGGAAGAUGUAACGGGGCUCAAACCACACACCGAAGCUGCGGGUGUCACGUAAGUGACGCGGUAGAGGAGCGUUCUGUAAGCCUGUGAAGGUGAGUUGAGAAGCUUGCUGGAGGUAUCAGAAGUGCGAAUGCUGACAUGAGUAACGACAAUGGGUGUGAAAAACACCCACGCCGAAAGACCAAGGGUUCCUGCGCAACGUUAAUCGACGCAGGGUUAGUCGGUUCCUAAGGCGAGGCUGAAAAGCGUAGUCGAUGGGAAACAGGUUAAUAUUCCUGUACUUCUGGUUACUGCGAUGGAGGGACGGAGAAGGCUAGGCCAGCUUGGCGUUGGUUGUCCAAGUUUAAGGUGGUAGGCUGAAAUCUUAGGUAAAUCCGGGGUUUCAAGGCCGAGAGCUGAUGACGAGUCGUCUUUUAGAUGACGAAGUGGUUGAUGCCAUGCUUCCAAGAAAAGCUUCUAAGCUUCAGGUAACCAGGAACCGUACCCCAAACCGACACAGGUGGUCGGGUAGAGAAUACCAAGGCGCUUGAGAGAACUCGGGUGAAGGAACUAGGCAAAAUGGCACCGUAACUUCGGGAGAAGGUGCGCCGGCUAGGGUGAAGGAUUUACUCCGUAAGCUCUGGCUGGUCGAAGAUACCAGGCCGCUGCGACUGUUUAUUAAAAACACAGCACUCUGCAAACACGAAAGUGGACGUAUAGGGUGUGACGCCUGCCCGGUGCCGGAAGGUUAAUUGAUGGGGUUAGCGCAAGCGAAGCUCUUGAUCGAAGCCCCGGUAAACGGCGGCCGUAACUAUAACGGUCCUAAGGUAGCGAAAUUCCUUGUCGGGUAAGUUCCGACCUGCACGAAUGGCGUAACGAUGGCGGCGCUGUCUCCACCCGAGACUCAGUGAAAUUGAAAUCGCUGUGAAGAUGCAGUGUAUCCGCGGCUAGACGGAAAGACCCCGUGAACCUUUACUGUAGCUUUGCACUGGACUUUGAGCCUGCUUGUGUAGGAUAGGUGGGAGGCUUUGAAGCGUGGACGCCAGUUCGCGUGGAGCCAUCCUUGAAAUACCACCCUGGCAUGCUUGAGGUUCUAACUCUGGUCCGUAAUCCGGAUCGAGGACAGUGUAUGGUGGGCAGUUUGACUGGGGCGGUCUCCUCCUAAAGAGUAACGGAGGAGUACGAAGGUGCGCUCAGACCGGUCGGAAAUCGGUCGUAGAGUAUAAAGGCAAAAGCGCGCUUGACUGCGAGACAGACACGUCGAGCAGGUACGAAAGUAGGUCUUAGUGAUCCGGUGGUUCUGUAUGGAAGGGCCAUCGCUCAACGGAUAAAAGGUACUCCGGGGAUAACAGGCUGAUACCGCCCAAGAGUUCAUAUCGACGGCGGUGUUUGGCACCUCGAUGUCGGCUCAUCACAUCCUGGGGCUGAAGCCGGUCCCAAGGGUAUGGCUGUUCGCCAUUUAAAGUGGUACGCGAGCUGGGUUUAGAACGUCGUGAGACAGUUCGGUCCCUAUCUGCCGUGGACGUUUGAGAUUUGAGAGGGGCUGCUCCUAGUACGAGAGGACCGGAGUGGACGAACCUCUGGUGUUCCGGUUGUCACGCCAGUGGCAUUGCCGGGUAGCUAUGUUCGGAAAAGAUAACCGCUGAAAGCAUCUAAGCGGGAAACUUGCCUCAAGAUGAGAUCUCACUGGGAACUUGAUUCCCCUGAAGGGCCGUCGAAGACUACGACGUUGAUAGGCUGGGUGUGUAAGCGUUGUGAGGCGUUGAGCUAACCAGUACUAAUUGCCCGUGAGGCUUGACC